GACAGAGGCCUCAAGCGUUAGGCGGAAUCACUGGGCUUAAGGCGUGUGUAGGCGGGUCGUUAAGUACCUUGUGAAAUCCCACGGCUCACCCGUGGAACCGCUGGGUAUACUGGCGAUCUUGGGCCAACUAGGGGCAACUGGAACAAACGGUGGAGCGGUGAAAUGCGUAGAUAUCGGGAGGAACACCGGUGGCGAAGGCGGCCUUCUGGACGGAUACUGACGCCGAGACGCGAAAGCGUGGGGAGCAAACAGG
rnacentral:rRNA from 1 species